GGGGACGAUCGGUUUAGACGAACAAAUCGUAAACAUAUGUGCAAAGCAGAUCUCUGAUAAAUCUUUAAACUGUCAGAAAAACCAAAUGCAAAAAACAAUUCAAUUGCUUCACCUUACAAGGUUGGAGACUUUGCAUUCGCUUUAUCUUAAUAAGCUAGCGACGUCUUACCAUCUGAAUCCUGAUUGGAUGACUAAGGCGACGCAAAUCAGGAUAGGUUAAGUUCGCUGCUCGCGUUCUUAUCCGAAAUCACGAGCUGGAUUAUUGUUUGUUCUGUUUAUCUUUCAGAACAGUAAUCGAGAUCAAAAGAUAAACUAAGCUUUGUAGAGUCAUAUGUUUACCUUGUUUGGACGUGGGUUCGAUUCCCACCGUUUCCACAU
rnacentral:tmRNA from 1 species